rnacentral:rRNA from 1 species
UACGUAGGGGGCAAGCGUUGUCCGGAAUCAUUGGGCGUAAAGAGCGCGUAGGCGGCCCGAUAAGUCCGCUGUGAAAGUCAAGGGCUUAACCCUUGAAUGCCGGUGGAAACUGUCGGGCUAGAGUCCGGAAGAGGCGAGUGGAGUUCCUGGUGUAGCGGUGAAAUGCGCAGAUAUCAGGAGGAACACCGAUGGCGAAGGCAGCUCGCUGGGACGGUACUGACGCUGAGGCGCGAAAGCGUGGGGAGCGAACAGG